rnacentral:rRNA from 1 species
UACAGAGGUCCCGAGCGUUGUUCGGAUUCACUGGGCGUAAAGGGUGCGUAGGUGGUUGAGCAAGUCUGAUGUGAAAUCUCCGGGCUUAACCCGGAAAUGGCAUUGGAAACUGCAUAGCUAGAGGGUUGGAGGGGGGACUGGAAUACUUGGUGUAGCAGUGAAAUGCGUAGAUAUCAAGUGGAACACCAGUGGCGAAGGCGAGUCCCUGGACAACACCUGACACUGAGGCACGAAAGCUAGAGGAGCAAACAGG